rnacentral:lncRNA from 1 species
UGUGAAAUAAUGGUGAUUUGGCAGCUUGGUAAUCAAUUGGGUAAUUGGGAUUUGAAUGUGAUUGGUAUGGGUGUUAUUUCAGUGGGUACGUAUGUGAUUAUGCUAGAUUGGCAUGCUAGUUGUUAUAUUUGGGGCUUAUAGCUUAAGUGGUUGAGCUCUCUGUGACAUAGGUCUACCUAUCUCCAGUCCUUAGGCUUGCUUUAAAAAAAAAAAAAAAAAACGAGAGAGAAAAAAAUGUAUAAAACUGUACAAAAACUUCAAAUGGAUACUAACUUUUAAGAUAUAUCACUGUUUAGUCUGAUGUACUAAUGUGUAUGUUCAUCCAAAUCUUGAAAUGAACCAUUCCUCUUCAGUUUUCUUUUCACAUUGUUGUUAGUAAAACCUAGUUUGAAUUGUACUUUUAUUUAAUAACUCACUUGGAAAAUCAACACAGCUAAAGAAAGAAAAGCUGAUUUUGGUUAGGAUUUUUUCUCCAUAGAAAAUGUAAAACAGACCCAGAAGUGAUGGUGAUAAUAAUAUUAAAGGUCUGAUUGAGUUUUUUGUAAUAUGCUUAGUUCAGACCCGAUAUACAUCUACUUUAGAAAUGUUAUAUAUAAAGAAAUUAUUUUGUCCGGUGAAUAUUAAUCAUAUUAAAGAUUAUAUUUUGGAAAACCCUAACGUUUCAUUAUCAAUAUCUACAAUCUAUACUAUUGUUAAACAGAAGUCUACCUGUCAACUGUUUUUGCAAAGUUCUAAUUUGAGAAGUUCAUCUUUUAUUGUUGAUCAGACUGUUUAUAGAUUUCUUGCAGUCUAUGUAACGUAUUUUUCAAUUUUGGUUAAGCUUACUGCUUUCCAAAUAUUGGGAAUUUAUGUUCAGGUGGGAACUUUCUGCAUGUUUCCGUAAUUAGAUUUACUUUUGUAAUUUCAGGGGUUACAAGAAAUUCUUCAGAAGAUCAAUCCUAGAAACUUCUGAGUUCCUUAAGGAUGAUUGCCUUGUAUUGAACUGCACUGUUGGAGUUGUCAGAACUCGCCUUGAGCAACCAAAACAAUUUACAAUCACUGUUCCAUCAUCAGACAUGGGACGAGACCUAAAGGACUUUCUAGAUUCUGAAGCUGGUUGUGACAUAGUUUUUCAGGUUGGUGAUGAACAGUUUAAAGCUCACAAGUUGAUACUUGCUGCUCGGUCUCGUGUAUUUAGAGCGCAGUUUUAUGGACUUGUCGGGGAUUGUAACGUAGAUAAAGUAGUUGUGAAGGAUGUUGAGCCCUUCAUCUUCAAGGUAAUGCUUCAUGAUCUUGUUGCUUCCACUUGUUAGCAUCUGAAUAAUAGAGUGCGUUAACAUUUGUGCACUUCUGUGUCUCUCCAUAAUUGACAUUCACCUUUUACACUUUUAUUAGUAGUCAAAAGGUUCUUUUUGAAUUCAGUUAUCAACUGAACAAAUAGGAAAUCUUGGGAUGAUCAAAGUCAAAUGCUAGUAUUCUUUUGUUAGAUUAGGAGCUUUCAAGACAAAGUAAUGAUGAUAAUAAUUACAAGUUCUCAUAUAAUGCAUUGAGUUGUUAAAUUCACUUAAAUAUAAAAACCUAUCUAUAGGUUAAAGAUUAUCUGGGAAAGUGAUAUUUGUUUCUUCUCAUGUUCACGUUAGCACUUAAACUACAGUGCUCGUUGGGGUCUGCUUGGUUGGUGGUAUAAUUAUUGCAGGAAUCCCCUAAUAUGAAUUAGAGAGAGUCAUCUUAAGGUUUGAGUUUUUAUACUUUUGUUGUUCGAUUUUUUACAGAUAUAAUCAAAUGUGAUAAAUCAAAAGUAGCUGAUGGCAUGUCUGGAUUCAGAUUCAACAUGUAAUUAAGGGUACAUGUGGGAGUUGAUUGCUUAGAACUGGCCUCUAAUAAGUGAAAAGUUGAACCAGUUUGAGCUUGUUUCAGUAACAUGUAACUGUGAAUAUUACGCUGGUCCAUUUGUCUUUGUUUCAUUAGUUUAGAUUUAGACUAGAAGUUCGCUCUUUGGCCCGUGGCCAAUAUUCACAGCGGUACCGACCUUUCCUGAUAAGUUUUAUCCAUAUGGAUUUAUUUAUGCAUGCUCUUAUUUUGAACAUGUUUAAUGAAUUUAAUAGAGAUCUUGAUCCUUUUUUCCAGGCAAUGCUUCUCUUUAUUUACACGGACAAACUUCCUGAUACACACGAAGUUAUGGGCUCAUCACCUUUGUGCACAUUCACUGUCAUGGUGCAGCAUCUGUUGGCAGCUGCAGACCUGUAUAAUCUAGAUCGACUGAAAUUGUUGUGUGAAUCAAAGUUAUGUGAAGAAAUCACUACUGAGACAGUGGCGACUACACUUGCGCUUGCUGAACAGCAUCAAUGCCGACAGCUUAAGGAUGUCUGUCUUAAAUUUACAGCAAAUCCGUCGAACUUGGGAGGUGGGUGUUACCCAUAGAUUCUGAUGGUGCAAGCUUUCAGGUUAUAUCAGUUUUGAAUUUUCUCUGUUUCUUAGUGUCUCAAGUAUCCUUGAUGUAUCAUGCAUGCCUGCCUCAUCAUGCAUGUUGCAGAUGUCCUUAUCAAUGUCUAUGGUUUCAGGAUGUCAAUAAGGAUGUUGCCUUAAAAUUUAUGAUAUUUCCAUUUGGGAUGGUGGGACCUCUGGUCAACCUUUCUGUCUGGGUCCUCUGGUCAGCCUAUGGUGACACCUUGAUAUUUGGCUGAUCGAGGGGCAGCAUUCUGAGAAUGGUAUAGUAGGAUUUCUAUUUUGGCUGAUUGUAUAUAGGUUCUUCCCCUAUACAUUCUUUUUCCAUUAAGUUAAAGAAAGGAAAGAAUUACAAGGAAUUUCACUGUUUCUCUCUCUAAUGGUAGAAGAGUGAUUCAAAAAGUUGGACCCUGCCUGAAAUUGUUACAAUUUGCCAUAUUUUAGACCCUGGAAACUGGUUUAAACCAGAAGUGCUGUUAAUUGGUCUUAACAAGGCACUGACCUCUUCCCCCACCCACUGUUUGCGAUAUUUAAACUCGAAUACAGUUAUCAGUUUCUUCUAAGUUUUUAGGGAUUAACCGAUGAAUGCCUUAUGGGUUGGUUAAUAAUUGAAUGACCAUUUUGAAUGGUCUGGAACAUCUCAGAGUUCCUAUAAUUCCAUUAGUGUGCAUUGAUUUAACCGUAGUUCCUUAUCCUCACGUGGUUGAAUGUCAUGGUUAUUCUGCUGAAAAUAUUGGUUGACCUUAUAUUUGUGAUGCAUUUGAUAUGAAUCUGUACGUUUUCCUGUUGCAGCAUGAAUUUAUGUUACUACCCGUGAACAUAAAUUUUCAUGUGUUCUUUCUCAAAGCUUGUAUUUUCCACAUCCGUCCUCCUGCAACAAUCACUUUCAUCCUUUCAUAGAGGAAUUAUUUUUUAUUUUCUUUGCAUGCAACUCUAUUCAUUUGGUAGUGUAUGUUGUAAAACUGAAUAUAGGACUCAUGAAUGCUCGUGAUUUUUGCAGCUGUAAUGCAAUCAGAAGGGUACAAGCAUCUAGAAGAGAGCUGCCCAUCAAUGUUGGUAGAGCUGCUGGAGACAUUUGCAGCGGUGGAUGACAAUUCUAGUCUUCUGUCAAGUCGGAAGAGGAGUGGCAGCAGCAUAUAUGGACUAGAUUUGCCAGCAGAUGGGGGUGGGACUGCAGCAGAAUCAGCAAAUCCCAAUGGUAGGCGCGUGAGGCGGCGGUUUUAGCAUAUGUAGUUUCCUGGAGGCCACAAGCCUGAAAGGAGUGGGAGUCAUGCAUGGCGGGCGUGUAUUUGUCACUUAUCGUCUUGCGUUAUGCCAGGCACUCCUUGUAUAAAGGUUCUGUGGGGGGUCACUGUUGUUGGAUGUAAAACUGAGAAUUGUAUGGUUACAUUGUGUGUUAUGUAGGAAUUAUAGGUAGUCUCUCCUUUCCAAUGGAAUCUGAAAUUUUUACUGAAAAGCAUAGAGUGUUUAGGUGUUGAAAUUUACUUAUUCAGUUUUAGAUUAAUGUUUGCUCAAGUAACAAGCAACUCCGAGGCAAUUUCGGACUCGCGGUCUAAGAUCUUCGGGGUUUUUUAAGAGCAUUUGAUAUGAAAUGUUAAGUUCUUUGAUGUUGUACACUGUUUUGAUUGGGGGGGUUGGGGGAGCUGUUAUACCAACAGAGAGAUGUAUAUGAACUCUUUAAGUUCAAGUUAUACCCUAACGUGCUAAUGAAUUCAACAAAUUGAAUUCGUUUGGGGGUACAUUGUUAGUGUAAAGGUAUAACUUCGAUCGUUAGUUCAAGAGCUUGUAGGUUGAAGUAGUUAAAAGAGUAUUAACCAUUAUGCUUGAGAUUCUAUGUUCGAUUUCUCUUAAAAAUGGCUCCAUGUCAAAGAAAAAACUAUAAAAUGAAGAAUUUACUUACAAUACUUACAUUUAAUUGUUAAAUGAUGUUAAAAAGAUGUAAGUAUUGUAGUCAGUCCCAUUAAUGAGACGAUUGUGCAUACUUCUUUUGGGCUAGACUGCUAGUACGCGGCCACACUCAUGGUCAUGGGCAGAGCCACUAAGGGAUCAGAGUGGUUUUAGGCCUAUCUUGACAACUGUGUCCACUAAGGGACCAUAGUGGUUCUAGGACUAUCUUGACGACUGUGUAAGAAAUUUCUAACUGCCUCAAGCUUGCAGUUGUAGAACCAUGAGACAUGAGGAAGAAGAUGAAUUAUCUUCAUAAAGAAGUUGAGUUGAACGAUGUUGUGUCUUAUAUUUUUCUAAUAGUUUUGUUUGUUUUGUCUUUGUGGUUUUGGGAAACUCAGGGAUGGGGUUUAAAAUCUACUUUAAUAUUAUUUCUAAAGCAACCUAAUCAACUAUUAUUUGCCUUCUUUUUUCUGUCAAAUGAUUCAAAUCAGAUUUCUUUGUAUUUUCUUCCUAUAAUUUCAAUUUUUUUUACUAGUUACGGUGCUCUCUACCCCCCCCCACUUAGUUGUAUUAUACACUUCUUCAUCCUUUUGAUUAAAUUUAAUGGGUCUUUCAGUUUUGUGAAGAUUACUUCAGUUGCUCAUGUUAUGAUUCGGAAUUUUUCUCAAUACAUAUCUGAAAGGCCAUCACACAAAAAGUUCUAGCUCUACCACUGGCCACACUUUUUGAAUAUUGCAAUGAAAAUCAUAAUAUUGUAAUAGAAAUCAAAUUCAUUACCAAAUUUUAGGAGCAUGAUAGAAAGAAAAAAUUACAUAAAAUAUAUUGAUAGUCGUAGAUGCUACUGCUGGUAGGAAGGUAGCUAUUUGAGCUUUUUGUCUCCAAGAGAACUUGAAGCGUCCUGAACUGUGGUAUCAGGCCAGAGAAAGGCACCCAUUGCAAACUCUCGCUUGUGCGCCAAGUCACCGUGCAUGGUCAACCCGUAUUCAGCAAGAAGGCGGUCGAGCUUCCACUCAGCCAUGCCCUCAUAGUCCUUUUUGGAGUAUCUCGGGUGGUGAAGAGGCAUCUUGAAGAAGCCCACGCCGCUGCUCAUUUUUCUGCUUUCCAUCUGAUUUUUCCACUCUUACUAAUCACUAUGCUCGAUCUAGAAAUUCGGUUUUCUGUGUUUUAGUUUGGUGUUGUGAGCUUGAUUUAUAGAGAUUUUAUGAGAGUUAAUCCUUGAAGGCUCCAGAGGCAUGAUUAGGGUUCACAAGAAUCGGUUGGCAUACCUUCUCAUAGCAUGGUAUUUACGUGCAUGUGUGCAUCUGUAGAGAGAGACUCUUAACGAGAACAGCACGACACUAACCCAAUAAGAAGGCUAAACCAAGCAUUGGAGACAAGGAACACAUACAACAUGCAUCUACACACUCAUUAUGUUACUACGGUUCGACUCUUUUUCCAGUUAUGCUGGAUGUAUUCAAACUUCAGACCUCUCUUAAAUUUUGUCAACUGUAUUAAUGAACAAGUCAUAUUAGUAUUGAGUAUGUUUACAAGGAUCAAUUAUACUUGAUAAGUGAGGAUUGGUCAAGAUUCAAUACAACACUACUUUUUUUUUUGUUCGAAUUGUUACACCAUUCGUCUCUUCGUCGAAGUAGCCCUUGAGUUAAUCGAACAUCAACGCACUACUCUAACCGGACCUAAUUCUGUCCGAGCCUUCGACAACUAUGUGAUGUUUUUGUUGUUCUUAAAACGAAAAGAUUCACUAGAACCAAAACCCUAGCUGGUAUUUGGCCCCUACCACAAUCUUCACCGACACAAUCUCAACUCCCAAGUGACCCUAUAAAAUGAUCCCAAACCAAAACUAAAUUAAAGGGUGUGAAUAAGCAACUUGUACGUGUUGCCAUAUGGUGCCUAUAAACGGAAUAGUACGAGUCUGUAUUCGAUAAUGUUAUCCAAACCACUCAAUUCUGUAGGCCGCUGCAUGGGAUCAGAUGAACAUCCACUUGUAGCCACACGAUCAGUUCUGAGACCGACUGAUGAUUAAGUGAGACGCAUAUAAUUGGAGGGCCCGGACUUGGUGCAUUUGGGGUAUGAUGUCGUGCGGGUUCAUGAGGUUCAGACAUGAAACGUGUGUAAUAUAGUUAGAUAUUAGUCUAAAUAUAUGUGGUGUGUUUGCGGAUCCGUAUGCAUGGUCACUUUAAAAAUAGCGACCCACCUCUUGAUUGUGGGGACUUUGGGACCCUUAAACUCAAUCAUCAAACUAUAUUCCUAGCCUCGUGAUUUGCUUCAACUAAAUUGUGUCACUAAGUUAACUAGAUGAUUGAGGGUGAGGGUCUACUCGUAAUUGAUGGAGACAAUGGCGGAGUCAGGAUGACAAAGUAGGAGGUGUGAGAGUGGAUUAACGGGCGAAGUUCGGACUAAAUUAAGGUUAAAAUAGGUAAAUCAAUGCACAAAAUUUUUUAUUGGAUAACACGAAAUUUGAGCUGGACUAGAGCCGAAUCUAACCUUUCACGAAGCUCUGCCUCUAAUUGGACAAAUGUUUAAUCAGACAUCGCUUGCUCUUAUGUAAAAAUUAAAGCUUGUGUGUAGUGUAAAUUGCUCUACUAAUAAAGAUAUACCCAAAUUGAUGAUGCGAUAACUUUAUAACGUAUUAUAAAGUCAAGCAAAUCUUAAUAAAUUUCUUGAAUCCUAAUGUACAAUGUGAAAUUUUUUAAGGACAAUGAAUGACUAACCUAAGUAUUGUUCUGUAAUGGAUACAUGGUAACUGAAGCAAAUUAUUUUUUGGUGCGGAAAUGAUUUUCCUUCUUUUUCCCUUUUUUGCUAUUCGAAUUUAAAGGGGGCCAAAUUGAGGGAAAUAAUGAGGCCAAUUUUACCAUGUAAUAAGAAACUAAAAGAUUUCGUUGAAAUUGUUCAUUUGGAAAUUUCCCGAAAAGCUAAUCGUAGGUUUCUUCUCUUCAUCGGAACAAUAGGGCCGAUAUGCUCAUUACCAAACUUGUUGAAGAGAUAAAAUAUAACUAAGGUAUAUCUUUUUUAUCAGAGGUUGAAUUGAUAAUCAGAAGAAGAAUUAGGCAAAAAAUAUAGGAUACAUUAUGGGAAAAUAAAACUUCCAUCGAAGAGAAGCAGAUGAAAUAUGCAUGAGGCCCAAAUAUGGAGGGAAUUGUGCCGUACACAAGGCUUAGGGAGUAACAAGUGGCUUCUCAAAUCACCACUCAUAAGCGGUGCUAUCAAUACAUUCGUUUUUAUUUUUCAUACAUCCUUCUUAAUUUUCGAUUAUCAAAUUAAAUGAAUUGAAGAUGAUCAAAUAAUAGAAAUUAGCAGAGGAUGUGCAGAAAGUAAAAGAAGUAUGUGGAUGUGGAUAGCAAUACCCUUCGUGGUUUGCAGUCCAUCCAACGUUUCUUCAGGUGUUCAAUUCAGUUCAGGUGUUUUGGGUUGGGCCACUUGUGCAAAAGCAGAGACUGCUCAAUAUCCAAGGGAAGGGACAGUACUAGGGCACACUUAAUUGGCUUCCAAGUUAGGUUUUGUGGUGGACUCUCUCUCUCUGACUUGAUUGGAUUGCAUGUGUACAUAUUUAGGAGAAUUAAAAGGUUAUCCAUACACAUUUAUACCAAAAAUGCUCUAGCAUUAUUAGUGGUGGGGAAAUGUAGAGAAAAACGAAUGGUCUUUCUCAUUCAUGCUUCGCUUAAUUUUAAUAAUCAUCUUUUUUAUGAUCUUGUUUCGGAGUGCAGAAAUUUGAUCAUAGAGAACUGGAGUUGUUAUGUGCAGCAUAUUCAUAGAGGGCAUAAUUUUGCAGUUGAUGGGUUAGCCAAAUUGGGUUUAAAUAGCAAGAUGGAGUUUCAAGAGCUUGCGGAGCCUCAUCUUUGUUUAGUUUAAACUUUUUUCGAUGACUGCUCUAGAGUCGCUACAGCUAGAUUAGUUGUUCCUUAGUUUUUCUUUUUCUUCUUCCAUGUUACCGAGAAAAAGAAAAACAUAUGACUUUAAGCGACAUUGAGUAUUCCAUAGUAAAAGAAAAUUAAAAGUAAAAUGCACAAUAACAAUACUUAUAAUUGUUAGUCUAAAAAUUCGUUGAAUGCAACUUGGUAUGUCGGACCACAGACGCACUGCUUAUUUGGUUCACGCGUGAAAUACUAAAGCUAGAUGCAAACAAUAUCAAAUAGCAGUCAAUUUGCAUGUUUCCAAGCCAUUUGGUCUUGACACUCUCUAAUAAAUUGAUAUUUUAUUUGGCUAUAUAUGCAUAUGGAGUUGGUGGUCCUUCUAUAACAUAUAAAAACACUUGUCAUUUUAUUUGGUUCAUGUACAAAUAUUUUUGUAUUGUUUCUAAAUAAAAAAUUUGCUGAAAAUUAUAGCUUCCAACUUGUAGCAUGAUGUGUAUGCAAGUUGUCCUCUUUACUAAACAAAUAAGGAAAAAUGAGUUAGAGUAAUACUCAACCACGAUAAGUGGUUCAAUAAAAAAAAUGCAUACAACAACUCUUUAAAAGAAAAAAAAGGAGGUUCUAGUUUUGAUACUUAAUAAGUUGGGUUCGAUACUUUGUAACCUUGGAGAGGUCCUAGCCUUCUUCGGUCCGGAUAGGUUUAGAUAACCGUGAGGAGGUCCUAGCCUUCUCCGGCCCCAGAAGUUAAAAUGUUAAAGUUUUGGAACUACCAUGCCAAGUUGUUAGGAUCUUUCUAAUAAUAGAACAAAAUAGAAAAUUAAUAACAUAUAAUUCUAGUAAAAUAUCAUGCCCUUUUGUUUGGACCCAAAAUUACACGAUCGGCCCGAGUAAUCGAGGCCGUUGAGUAAGCGUACUUCCACACCGUCGAUGAAAAAGUGAAGAUAAUUUUAUUAAUAUUAAAAGAUAACAUUAUGAUUUUUAUCAUAAUUAUCCUUUAAUAAUGAUUUAUCUUGACAUUUUCUUAUAAAUAUAAUAUAUCUCCAAGCUAGGAAACAUGCAGCACAAUUCAAGUUGAUGUGGAUGUUUGGCAUAUGGGUAUGUGGUUUGGAUCAAUUUUGGUUAACGGAUAUGCACGGCAUCAGAUAAUGAAGCAUGCAGAACAGGAUGAUAAUUAAAAAUGAAUUUAAUAUUCAUGGGUCAGCAUGCAUGCGACAAUGGGGUAAGAAAAUGGUGACUUUGGGUGAUGAUGAUGAGACAAGCCUAGAAAAGCUAGGUUUUUGGUGGUGAUGAAAGUGAUCAAAUGGGUUUAAAGGUUUCUGAUGGAGUUUUUAUUAUGAGAUCAGAAGUCUAGGUGGUCUAAGCUUCUGAUGUGAUAUGAUUUGCUUAUAUAGGUUUUUUUUUUAAGGGAACUUUAACGAAAAACACCUGGUACUGUUCACUUUAACGAAAAACCACAUUUUUACACUAAAAGUCAAUCAUGGUACUAUUCACUUUACCCUUUAUUUUGUCCUUAUCAUUAAAACUCAAAGUUUUCAAGUCAUUUUCAUUAGUUUUCUUUUUUUUUUAUCUUGUUUGAAAAGUCAAGAACUACGUCUGAAGGAUAUGUUUGGCCUAUGCCACGGAUCAGAUUUUAUUCAACGAGUUAGAGUUGCAGUCGGACUCUACACAAUUAUCUAGCCGUGCCAAGCAAUCAGUCCUAUAAAUACAGAUGCAAUGGUAACGGAAAGGCCCUUUCCAAUUCAACCCACAAACUGCCCUGCGUAAACCGUUGCUCUACGCGAAACCUCUCAACAACCUUGAGAUUUUUAGUUUCUUUUUCGCCAACACAUCUUCAGUUUGGAUAAACAACAUUGUGAAGGCAACCGGCAAACAUCUUCAGUUUGGAUAAACAACACUGCUGCCGUAGAAUCAACCGAUCGCAAAGCACCUUCAGUUUGGAUAAACAGCACUGCAUUAAGGUCGACUGGUUAUCUAUCCAAGUCUCGGUCGAGAAGGGUUUUCGAAUCCUUAUUGGCAAAGGUCAUCUCACGAGUGGCGAAGUGAGGUGUUACGAAUUACUAGACUCGAUGCAUUGAACGCCGAGUGGUUUUACGAUUGGAUACUCACUAGUUGGGUUUAGAGUUUAGCAUUCUGAAGGCCGAACCACAUUUACGAUUAAGACGUACAUUUUCUUUGAAUAUUUGUGUCCAUAUAGUCUGGUGUCGAUUCGACGUGCUUAUAGUCUUACAAAUAUAAUCACCGUGAUUGAAUCCGACACCGACAAUUUAUGAACUUCGUAGAUCUAGUAGCCUUAUCUUCAAGCUCUAGAACCCGAAGGCGACGUGUUCCUUCCUCGGCCGCAAUCGCAAGAUCAAGAAGUCAGCAGCGCAUCCGACGCAACAUCAACAUAUUUUACUCCCCGUCCGAGCUCGGCCGAUGAGUUGGCACGCCCGCAUACAACCGAAGGAUGUAGUUAGCUCAUUAGUUACUCGGCUUGCGCGCCACGUAGGCUUGGUAGUUUUUAGGGUCAACACCUUCUUCAACUAUUCGACUUGCUCCUCGAAAUAAGUAAAUUUCUUUGGUUUAAAGUAAAUAGAAUCACAACACAAAAAUAUGGCUACUAGCACGACAAUCUAACAAUAUUUUUUUCUUACAUAAAAGUAAAAUGUCUCAAAGUUAUUUUAUCAAGAUGACAAGUGUGAUACUUGUGCUAUAUGUACAACUGUUUUUAUUCCUCGCACAUUUUUUUUAAUUUUAAACCGUCGAAUCAAAUAAAUUGAAAAUCAAAGAUAAAAGUGUAUGAGAGGUACCGUAAAAUUGGUUUGUGAAAAACACUAUCCUACUUAAAUAUGACUAAAUAAAAAAUCCUACUACAUUUUUUGAGAUAAAUAUAAAAAACAGAAAUCAUGGAAAGAAAGAAUCGAAAAACAUUUUCGAGGGGUCCUGAUCAAAUAUGCGGACACGUGGUAGCACAUAAUCAUUGGCGGCUCGCAUCAGGUUCCACCACGUGGUGUGAUGCACAGACGGCCACGCCAGCCCCGAACAAUGCUCUCUGUAGUUAAGGGAGGCCGACCUUCCAGAAACUUCCGGGAACUACUGGCUCGCAGCGGCCGAGGCAACUUGGGGUCCAAAACGCGCCACGUGUCCACACAGCCACGCGGGAAUCUGACGUGGCGUCCUCAUUUUCCUGUAUUUGAUACGGCCCCAUUUUUAGCAACCCAGCAAAAUUAGGGCACUUCCCAACAACGUACUCAAAAGUCCACCAAAGCUCAAAAAACUUCAAGAAAAUUCUGAAAUUUCCGAAAACGGAAAAACAAAAAUUCGGAUUCGGAAUCCGUUUCCGUUCCCUGUUUUUCGGAUUUUAUCGAGCGAUGAAUGCGGAGGGAAUUACGGAGGGAGAGGAAGUGAAGAUGGAAGAGGGGAAAGAGAAGGUGGUGUUCAUGUGGGGAUAUCUUCCCGGAGCUCUGCCGCAGAGGUCGCCGCUUUUGUCGCCGACGGUCGUGCGGACGGCCGACGCCGAGUACGCGUGGAAGGACGUAUGCGGUGGCGGGUGCGGCUUCGCCAUGGCCAUUUCUGGUGCUUUCUUCGAACUCUGCCUCGGUUUUUUACUUUCUGAUUGCAGUUUUACCCGCUGUUUGGAUGCCGAGAAAAUGUGGGAAAAUAAAGCUUGAAAUUUUAUGCUUUCUGCUAUUUUUUUGCUAUAUAAAAACAUACAGCAUAGUAAAUUAAGUAAAUUUAGUAUACAGAGUUUUUGUGUCUGAAAAUUUCUGCUGUACUUUAUGUAUCUUCUUCUAUUUUCAUUUCACAUUUCAAAUUGGGGAAGAAUUAUAAUUUUAGUCUAUACACACACACAUAUAUAUAUAUUCUAAAUUGCUCUAAACCACGGCGAGGGAAUGUCAACUUGGUUGCAAGGGCACACUCUAUUAUUUUUCUCCCCAUAUCUUUGUGUAUGUUUUUCUUUGAUGGUUGUGCUGCAAAGUACGUUUGUUUUUGCUUAUGGUUCUUUGUUGGUAUGAUUUCACCCAGAGCCUGGGAAGCUUAUUACAUGGGGCUCAACAGAUGAUCUAGGCCAAAGCUAUGUGACAUCUGGGAUGCACGGGGUACUGUAGCGAUACACGACACUUGGUUUGUUCAUUGAUUUAUUUUGUUAAUUUGUUGAUGGAAUUAUUGACGUUGUUCUCAAUUUUGCUUGUUAAGGAAAACCCGGAGCCUUUUCCUCUUCCGAAUGAAGCUUGUAUAGUACAGGCGGCCGCGGGUUGGGCCCAUUGUGUUGCAGUCACAGGUAAUGCUGAUCUCCCAACUGAAUUUUUCUCAAAGAGAAGAUUUUUAUUCAACGUAGUGAGUAAAGGUUUAGAAACAUCUGAACCCUUUUCUGACAACUAAUUUCUUCUGAAGAUGCCAAGGGGGUUUGGAAUUAAGCGCAUGAAACUAGACCGACUGAAACAAUUAGUUGGUAACUAAUUGAAUUGUGGAAACAAUUUCAGUUUCCGUGUUCCAUCGUUAUUAAGCUAUUAUGAGUAUUGAGGCAGUCAAUACAUUUUGGUUUUAAUGCAGAUAAUGGAGGAGUUUACACAUGGGGAUGGAAUGAGUGUGUUCCAUCUGGGAAGGUCUUUGGGGAGCAAUCUAUGGGUUCAGACGGUGUAAAGGAUGCCUAUGAAAGGCAGAAUUCUUUUAUGACUGAGCAAGGUAAUUUAUGUUUAGCCUCUUUUCAUGACAAUGACAAAAGCUUGUUUUUCGUUCAUUGCUGACUUACUUAUGUUUAUAAUAUAGUUAGCCCUCGCUCUCAAGGCUCACGAUCCACCGCUGCGGCAGUUUCUGCUAGUGAAGAAAGUACAAAGCGAAGAAAAUUGUCAUCAGCAAAACAAGUGGCUGAAAGUUCUUCAUCUGGUGAUGAACCUCCAUCAGCAUUGCCUUGUCUUGUGGCAUUGAACCCGGGAGUUAGAAUAGCCAGUGUUGCUGCUGGAGGGCGCCAUACUCUGGCAUUAUCAGGUAAUUUUACCCUGUUCUGAUUUUUACCUGUAUGCGAUGCAUAGUCUCUUUGCAUUGUGGUCAUGAAAUAAGGUGUGGAAUGAAGUAUUGAGUUAGAAAUUAGAAUAUUUAUAAUAUCAAGCAAGACAUAAUGUAUCCUAAUUUCCCAAAACUUCAGAUAUAGGACAAGUGUGGGGAUGGGGCUAUGGAGGUGAAGGGCAGCUUGGUCUGGGCUCCCGCAUACGUAUGGUGUCCUCUCCUCAUCCUGUACCUUGCAUUGAGUCCUCUUAUGGAAAAGAUAGAUCUGCAGCACUGUCUCGAGGAACCAUGGGUUCAGACGGAUUUGGUGUUAGGGUUCCUGGAAAUUAUGUGAAGGGGAUUGCCAGUGGAGGGCGACAUAGUGUAGUAAUCACAGGUACAAAUUUUAAGUUCUUUCUCCAAUUAUGUAUAAGCAUGGGCAUCCUAGCUGGAUAGUACUGUUACUGCCAACAUCUUUAACUAAUCUUAGAUACUCAAUUGGUAUUUCUAGCCGUUAAUAUGGUAUAUGUAAGAGAGAGUAGAUUAAAUACUGAAGAAUCAGUCACUAGGUCAGGUGAAUGAUCAAUCACUGGAAUCAUGGGAGCCAUUUUCAAAACUUCAUAGUUAUAGCUGUUUGUAAGUGGGGAAUUAGAAUUGACUUAUCACAGGAAUGGCAUUACCGUGGUUAGUGUAUCAUGUGGUACAACUGAGAUGUUAAACGAUUUUAGCACUUUAGCUUUUAUGUUUUAUAUUACAUGUAUGUUUGUGAUUUCUUUCUUGCAUUUCAGAUGCUGGAGCAGUACUUGCUUUUGGUUGGGGGCUGUAUGGACAGGUGAGUUUUCUGCAGUAUUGCACUCUUUGCCUCACACUUUUGCUUCUUCAAGAAACCAUUAGUGCUGUCUGCGUUAAUUUUAUUUCAUCCUUAUGCACAACAUAUUUCUUCAUAGUGAAAAAUCAUUGAUCAUAGUGCUUUUGGCUUGUUGGUGGUAAAACUGUUAUUGAUGACCAAUAUAAAAAUUCACUAUCUAUAGUAUUACUGGAUUAGUACCUAAACAAGAUGUUACCGGUGUACCAAUCAAACCGGAAUGUCUAAUUUUUAAUUGUUGUAUCCAUCCAUAAUUCCGUACACAACAACUAGCAGGUGUUCCCCUAAUCUUAACCAUUCUACGGUAUCAUUACGUAGGUAUAGGAAUGAUGGAGAAAAAGCACUGUAGGUGCUCAAGAUGAGGUUCACUCAAAUGGAUUAAUCUAUUCUAUUCCUUCUCAAUGUUACCAAUAUUGCACUGUUGCUGAACAUUUUGGCUUAUUAAAAUAAGGCAUAAAACUGAUUUCCUUGUCAUUUUUGUUUUAUUCAAGUGUGGGCAAGGAAGCACAGAUGACGAGUUAAGCCCGAUUUGUGUAUCUUCAUUACUGGGUAUCCGGAUAGAGGGUGUUGCGGCAGGACUGUGGCACACUGUCUGCAUUUCAGCUGAUGGCGAUGUUUAUGCAUUUGGCGGGAAUCAGUUUGGACAGCUGGGAACCGGAGCAGAUCAAGCUGAGGUAAACUAUGAAGUUUACCUACAUCCUUCCUUUGUUGGCUAUAGACUUUGACAUCCUCACUAAUUGAGAAGUCACAAGGUUACUAGAAUAGUAUAUGAUUGCUUUGAUUCAUAGGUUUGUCAUUCAGGCAACGACACAACGCUAUGAUAACUUUAAAUUUUCCCUUACUCGGCCAUAAAAUGUUAAUAGUAUAUAGGUAGGGUUAUUAGGGUAACAUAAAUUAAGUAAUCGAUAAUAUUUGCUUGGAUACUUUUGCAGUAUUUUCAAAUCAUCAUUGCCAAUAUUCAUUGAAUGUUGCUUUCAGAGAAACUGUUGAACUGAAUUUUCUUGAAUUGUGGACCAGACAAUACCAAGACUUUUGGAUGCUCCAAUUCUGGAAAAUGAGAAUGCAAAGAUUGUUUCCUGUGGGGCGCGCCAUAGUGCCAUAAUCACGGGUAUGUGUCUACUUUUACAAGCUCCCUUACUAUUUUAUGAUAAGCGACUUUAUCUUUCUUUAAGCUAACUAGUCGUUCUUUUAAGCUAAAGAAGAGAUGGUAUAUAUCCAAUCUUAAUGUGGUUAAGCACAUAUGAUUACCUCGAUUGUAUUUGGUUACAUGUGGUCGUCUGCAUUGGUCCAGAAAACAGGAAGUGAUUUAUGGAGAAAGAAACACAGAAAUUUGGUCAGCUCAUGAGAGCCUUCACAAGUCCUUAGAAAAUUCCAAAUAUUGCGUUUAGGCUAGUAAACAAACGAAACAACAGUGAAAGUGUCUGAAGUUGUAGGUAGUGUGGAUAAAAAUAUCUGUUCAGGUGGAGAUAUCAGUUGCUUGGCUUUACAGAAAUAUCAGUUUAUGUCAUAAUUUUGGUUUAGAAGAUGUUGAAGUUGAACUUGUGUGGAUUAAAACCUAAAGAGAUUCUUAAUUUAUUUGUGUUUCAUGUAGAGGAUGGGAAAGUUUUCGGCUGGGGAUGGAACAAGUAUGGUCAGGUAUUCAGCUGUCAUCAAUAGUUCAUGUCGAUGCUAUGAAUGUAUUUUGCUCUGCAAUGUUCCCAUUUCUCGUAUUGCCUUGCAAGUCUAAUGCUGUGGUUUUCUGUUGCAAAUUCCAGCUUGGCCUGGGUGAUGUGAUCGACCGCAACAUUCCAGCUCAAGUCACGAUCGACGGAUGUGUGCCGAAAAAUGUGGCAUGCGGCUGGUGGCAUACCUUACUGCUUGCUGAACCUACUUGAGUUCUCCUAGUCCAAAGGCCACGGUACAAUUUUGUUAGAUAGCAGUGUUCAUUGAAGUUGGUAACUUAUUGGUUACAUGUACAUACACUAGUUUGGAAUGGAAUUGUAUGUACAUAUACAUAUGUAUUUAUGUAUGUAUAUGCAUGUACCUCAUUCUUUCAUGACGGACGUCUUCCACGUCUAAUACAGUUAGGAUAUCGUAAUAUGUAUCAAUUCGACGAUGUACAACUAAGGUUGUGUAUAAUUGGAAGUGGCUGUGAUGUAACCAAACGCCUGGAAAUGUUAUGUAAUUGUUCUGUAUCGUCUUAGGAAACAUGCAGCUAUGUGGGGAAUGCUAUGGAAAUUUCCUUGAUUCAUCUGUGUAAUGCGAUGUCUGGUGCAAAAUUGCAAAUCAACUUUCUAUGUUUUUUUAUACUCUCAAAGUUCAUUUUUUAGGAGAGAGACUUACAUGCAACUAGAACACUGGUGACGGUAUUCUAAACUAUCAUGCAAUAUUAUGUGUUUUAACUUGCUCACAUGACAUUGCUUUAUUAAUUCGGAACAGGCCUUGAAUGAAAGAAGUCGCGGAGGAGAUUGAGUACAUUGCAAGCGUUGCCACAGCAAAGGGUGGUUGAUGUCUAAUUUUUGUUCCAGUUACCUGUCCUAUUUGGAUGUUGCACGGUUGUGUUUUUGUUUACCAGAUGCAUAUGUAUGUUAUAUAUUACCAGAGUUCUGCUUGUACAGCUUGAGGUGAAGGUUUUGCUUGCUGAAAUAUGAGUUUUUUAUUUUAUUUUUUGAGUUCAGGGUUUAGGAUUUAGGGUUUAGAAACGUGCCUUAAAGAAUUUUUUUGGAAGUAUUGGACAUGCCAAUGGGCAUACCCAAAAAGAGGAGAAAGUAUGUUAUUCACUUACGUCUACAACACUCGUGAUCCAUGUGUACACACUACACAAAGCAUUUGAUAAUUAAUAUGUCAUUGAGAUUCUCUCUGGAUCUCUGUGUCCGGAGCCUAAAGAUUAGGAAAUCCGGACUACUCAUUCAAAUCUUGCGAUUUUCAUUAGCCCAUCUUACACAAACCAAUAGCCCAAACCUUUGUCAACAGCCUGAAUAUCCUGGUCUUUGAGUGCCGGACACAGAGAUUCUCUGAUCCAAAGCAUACUCUCUCUAGAAAGAAGCUCAAUCAUAUGGGUGGCAAGGGAAUUAUGUAGUUGGGCUUUUUGGGUGGACAUAUGGGCUUGAAGAAAGAUUAGCACUAAUUACGUAGAUGGGCCUUCAUGGUCAAAGGGUUUUUGCUUGUUCUCUUUUUUAUUCUGAAAGAUGGCAUUGAUCAAUCACUGGUUUAGUUUCUAAUGAGCGAUUAGCUCGAGCAGAGCUGUUAAUUGGUUGCAAUCAACUCUUUCAAAUGAUUUCUUUGGCUGGUCUUCAGUUUUGAAUCUUUUGAUUCUUUCUUAAGUAGGUAAUGAGUAGAAGUCAGACCUAAAAAUAGGCUUUGAACGGAUCAACUACCUAGAUAUUGUAAACACAUUUAGACCGUUUUUUACACACUUUAAGUUGUGCCUGAAACAAAAGGCAAUAGAACAAUCAAAUCUUAUAACUAAUUCACUCAUAUUAUAAUAUAGGUGAACGAUUAUUUUAUAUUUUAGCAUGUAUUAUUAAUAACACGCGUUAGUGGUGAACUGGUCAUGCUAUGAGGCAGCGUUCUAAGACCACAUUAUAAUUUCUCCAUGAUAAGAAUGCAUAUUCCAUUGUUUUGGUUAAAGAAAGAAUAUACGGAUUAAAUUAAUUUGUUAAUCUUCUUGUUUUACCCUCAAACUUUUUCUGUUCCUGAUUAUUUCUGGCUUAUAGGGCUGGUUUGGUAUUGCUGUGCUUUGAAAAAAAGCUACUGUGAAAAUAAGCGGCUGUGCUGUGAGAAUAAGCGGCUGUGAAAUAAAUCAGCAGAGUGUUUGGUAAACUUUUUUGUAAAAGUGCUUUUGAAAAAAAAAGCAGUCUAAUAGUGGGUCUUUUCAUUAAAGAAGCACCGUAGCUCCGUAUGCUUUGAAAAAAAGCCAGUUUUCCAAAGCUACAAAUACCAGCUUCAGCUUUUUCCUUUGAUUUCAGCUUAUUUUCACAGCAGCUUCCAAAAUAAGCCCUUUUUUUUCAGUUUACCAAACACCUAAAACCCUCACAGCUUUUUUUCAUAGGUGCUUUUUUUAAGCACCUCACUCCCAAACUAGGUCUAAAAAUGGUGGCUUGUCAUGUCUAUAUUUUUUUGAUAUAAUUAAGAAAGUUGGUGACGAUAUGAAGUAAAGCCUAAAGAUUUUGAAUAGUCAAAUAAGACCAAAUUCACACAUUAUUUUUGCUUUUUCCAGCAGACAGAUGAGUUGGGCUGACUUGUCCUUUACUAUUUUAACUCGCAUUGCACUUCUUGAUUGUAUUAAUUAAGGAAAGAUGACAUGCUCCUUAAGGCUUCAUUAGUAAUGGUGGGUAUGAAAUAUCGAAUACGUGAUUUCGGGUGCAGGUCGUUAAGUUACUGGUGUGGUACCAAGAAUAAACAAUCGUGAUUAACGUAAGGUACUGGUGUGGUACCAAGCCAACGGCUUUUUGAUGGUCAAGUUAGUAUAAAGAUCUUCGCACUCCUUUUAUGAUUGUGAAUACUUGUAGCGCAAACCAUUCCCUUGAUGGUUGGAAUAUCUAAGAAUAUAAGAAAUCAAUAUGAACCCUAAUCGGAUUAGGUUUCCAUGUCUUGCAAAACAGACAUGGUCGAUCUCAGCAAGGUCUGCAUACCUUCCUUAUCAUAUCAGAGCUCAACAAGAUGUAGGGCAUUAUUGGUCUAUUUAGUCGGCUUAGUCCAAUUAGAGCCGUUGAGUUUAUAAUCGGAUUUCUAAGGCAUUUAUAAUCCGAUAUGCCUUACUCCUAUCCAAAAAAAAAAUAUGGUUCCACAGAUAACAAAAAGAAAAGCCAAAUUGUUACUUCAAUUGAAGACUUAAAAUCUCAUUCACACAUACAUACCCCUUUUGGUUUGUUUAACAACACUAAAAGGUUAAAGGUUCUAUUUCUAACUUAGGUCGGCCACAAGGCCAAUUACUUAGAAGUGGAGCAUAACCAAAUAUAUAUGCAUGCAUGACUUGCUAUUUUGUCAAAGGGAUCCAACACCAAAAGGUCAACGAAUUGUUUAGGUUGUUUGGAUGAGGACGGCAAACUUAGAACAUGCUGAUAUUGACCAACAUAAGUAAGCCUUAGUUUUGGCGCAAGACAACUAAGUUUCCUUAAUUGUAUGAUUCGGGUGCAUAGAUAAACGCUUGUAUUUGCUUCAGUUACAAACCUCUUAUUAUGAUGUAAUCAAUGUAAAAUUCCUAAAAAACUCGUUUUCUUUUUGUUAAAAGUUUGAACCUUGCUUCGUGGUUGAAUUUCCCAUGUUUGUAUUUGUACUUACUAGUAUUAGAAGAGUGAUGUUAUUCAGACCACAUUUACUGAUUACAUUGUCGAUGACCUUUGAAAUACACGCAAGUCUCACAUAUAUAGAUGAAGUUUUCACCUUUAUUAGAAAACUAAUAAAGUAAUCAGUAAAUGUGGUACAAAUAACAUCAUUCGUAUCAGAAAUAGAGAGAUUUUGUUUUGGUGCAUAUCAAUGAUAAUUUUUUUAAGAGGCAGGCAAAAGUUUAAAGCUGAAAUUAGCUGGAGUUUGUGCUUAUAUACUUUGCCUUUGAUUUGGGGUUAAUUUGAACCUUUACGUGGAUCUUGCAUUAGAAGCAAAACCCAUCAGGUUUGGUAUGGUGAUAUAAGAGGAUACGGUCUAAUAUAUCAAAUAUAAUAGUAAUAGUACAAUUAGUUGAAAAUAUAAAAAAUUAAAAAAAAAUUAACCAAUUAUAUUAUUACUUGAUAUAUCAAAUUAAGUUCUUCAACAGAUUGAAAAAUUGCUCUGGUGUAAGCUGCAUCUUUAUCUGGAAUGUGCUUUUUUCUGCCUUGUUGGCAAAUUUGGCUGCAACUUGCAAGUUGAUAUAAAAAUAAUAGUGAUCGGUGGAUCUCAAAUUAAAUAUGUCACACAUCCUCUAGGAUCCCUACCCCUAUAUAAUAUAUAUAUAUAUAUAUAUAUUCAAUAAUGUUAUUUUUAUCAUAUUUUUGUACCAUAAUUGUAUAUUACUUUAGGUAGUAUUUGAUGUGGACAACUACAUCAUCUAAAUUAAUUAGCAUUUAAUUUCAAAAUAUUAAUCAAUAAUUAAUAAAAAAUUAUUAAUUAAAUGAUGAUUGUGGUAUACGAGGAGUCGCAUCUUCCAUCUAAAAUUAUUUAAGUGUUUUAAUUAAUAAAAGAUUGAAAUUAAAUAAUGUAGCUUGUCUAAGACCUGGUUUGGUACUGAGGUGAUUCUGAAAAAAAAAUGGGUAUAAAAAAAAGCGGUAUCAAAAAAAGCUGGGAGCUUUUUUGUGUUUGGUAAACAUUCAGCUUCAGUUUUUUUUCACAGUUUUGGAUGAAAAAAAGCCAAAAACACAUGGCUACAAAACUUAGCUUUGAAAAACUAGUUUUUUUUUACAUCUGUUUUACAUAAAAGUUUACCAAACACUAUAAUACUGCUUUUUUUUUCAAAAGUACUUUUACAAAAAAGUUUAUCAAACACUCUGCUUAUUCUCACAGCACAGCAGAAGCAGCUAUUUUUCAAAGCACCGCAAUACCAAACCAGCCCUAACUCAUCUACCACGUAAAAUGAUAAAAAAAUAUAAUAUAAAAUUAUGAUAAAAAUAACAUUACUCAUAUAUAUUUUGCCAUUUAUCUUUAGACUACGAACUUUUUAUUUUUCUACGGUUGAGAAAUCAAAGUCAUGGCACAUAGUUUUAGAAGUAGUACUACGAUAUUAACUCGAUCAACUCGAUCAACCAAUUCUUUAUUUGGGUUGUCUGAACCCUAAUUAUUUGCAUUGUAAAAACAUUUAUAAAUGUAGAAUGAUCUCUAAGGCGAAAUGGUAUCUCAAACUUUUAGUCGAAAGAAGUUUACUAAACAAAACAAGUGGUUCAGGGGGAGUUGUGGUCGAAUUUCAGGUCAGGUUUAGUUUUUGAUCUUGAAUUUGAGAUACAAAGUUAACAAAAACACAAGUAAUUCUCCGGUCAAAACUUUAAAAUCACUAUUAUAAAUCUUUCUUGUGUGCAUACAGACCUUUCAAGAACUUACAAACGAUCUUAGUUUUUAAUUGAUUUUUUUUAAGAGAUGGCAUUUGUAGAAGAUUUAUAAUAUAAACAAUUUUGAUCAUAAACAUAAUGUUUUAUGACUUAGCAACGUAUAAUUUUGAGUAAGAAUUUUACUCAUCUUUAAAGUUGUCAAGUAUUAUUUUUAAAAGGCAAACAGAAAGAGAAAUUUAUUUCAACGAUGGUUGUGUUUGAUUACGACACUAUCAUUAUUAUCGUCCUUCCUCGAUGUUGAUUGGCCAUCUCUGCAAUCACAACCAAUAUUAAUGGUAUUUCAAGAAAUAAAAAAAAUCACCACAUAUUGGGAUUACUUGCCAGAACAAUUUAAACUAGGGAGUUUUAACGAAAAGUCCGCGGUACUGUUCAUUUUAACGAAAAAACCACAUUUUUACACUAAAAAGUCAAUCCUGAUACUAUUCACUUUACCCUUUAUUUUGUCCUUAUCGUUAAAACUCAAAGUUUUCAAGUCUUUUUCAUUAGUUUUCCUUUUAAACUAUUCGAGUACAUCUUACGGUAAGUUCUAGAUCUAGUAACACAAUGUCGAAUAUUUCCUUACCAUUACACAUUAUGUAAUUACUGAAGCGUUGUCGUAAUUGUAAUCAAUCCAUUUAUCACCUCCCCCAAUUAGACAUCAUCUCUAUUUUUAAUAGGAAUUUUAACGAAAAACUUCUGCUAUUGUUCAUUUUAACGAAAAACCAUAUUUUUACACUAAAAAGUUAAUGCUGAUACUAUUCAAUUUACCAUUUAUUUUGUCUUUAUCGUUCAAACUCCAAGUUUUCAAGCCUUUUUAAUUAAUUUUUUUUAAUAUAUAUUUUAAGAUGGACCUCCUUUUCUAGGGAAAGGGAUCAUCUCCGGAUCCCUUCCUCCUAAUCCAUCAAAUCAUGGGAUAUGUGCCGUUAAAAUUUAAUCAAACGGCUACAAAUAAGGUGUCACGCCCCGAUCCCGACAUACGUCCAGGAUCGACACGUGACAUCACCAAAUAUCCAUAUAUCUAACAUACCCCGCCUCCGAAAUAUGUACCAAGUACGCUCAAGCCUCAAAUUGAUUAGUGAUUUUUUUCGUGUACUUAUGGCUGCAUCUAACCUUCCGUUAGAUUGCCUACGUAUCCUCAAUAGGGAUCAAGUCAUUCGUAGUUCGUCAUAUAUUACACUCGAACAAUUAUCACAUAAUUCACUUUAUCUUCAAUGUCAUUCCAUAAUCCCGUAAAUUAAACAAUUCAUGAAUUAAAAAUGCAUGAUCUUAGCAUUUAACUACGUUAAUCAAACAAUACGAUAACAUAUCAUUUUAUGAAUCUAAUUAAAGAACUCUAUAUAAUUUCCUCCUUGGAUCAUGAGUAACAACAUGGCAAAACUAAUUUAUAUUCACAAGGUCUAAUGUUGACAAUUCAUAUUCACUCGAAUCUAGGGUUCUAGACUAACCUUUUGGAAAUGUGCAAGAGUAAGGAUUCCGGACCACUCAACAGAACCCAACCACAUCGGGUUCCGGACCACUCAACGAAACCAAAAUAUCAAUCAGUUUCUUGUAAUCUACCUAGACCUGUCGCAUGUAAAAUCAGUGCCUACAUCAUGAAAAUUGUGCACUGGGCAAAUCAGAACUUGGAUAAGUUGCGAAACUCGGGUGAGUGACAAUAAUACAAAUAUGUGAUAUUCAAUAAAAACAUACCAUCGAUCACAAUCUAUAAACAUCAAGUAAAGAAUUAUGCUUUAUGAAAUCAUAAUCAAGUUGCUGAAAACUCUGAAGGAGUCACCCAAACAUCCAAUGACUUUUCUAAUUCAAACCACAAGAUUCUCAAAAAAACAUCGUUCAUAUGUACAUUAAAAACUAGGGCUAUAGGGACGCAGUUCGGCCGAAGCCUACAUAAGUAACCAAACAGGAAGUGGCCCCCUAAAGCGGAUUAACCAAGCAGAGCCACCCCUGAGAAAGUAACCAAGUAGGUAGUGACCCCCAAUGCGGGCAGAGUCACUCCUACAGCUGUUAGGAAGUGAUCACCCAAUGCGGAUUAACCAAGCAUGAUCACUCUUAAGCAUACAUGGCCAUAAGGAUCGCCUAACGCAGAUUAACCAAGCACGAUCCACAUAUAGUAUGGUCCCCCAAUGCGGAUUAACCAAGCAUGACCAUUAGUGACCCCUUAAUGUGGAUUAACCAAGCAGGGUCAAGAUAAUUAGGUAGGUAGUGACCCCACAACGCGGAUUAAUCAAGCAGAGUCACACCUACAGAAUUGUUAGGCAGUGAUCACCUAACGCGGAUUAACCAAGCAUGAUCACCCCUCAGUAUAAAUGGCCAUAAGGAUCGCCCAACGCGGAUUAACCAAGCGCGAUCUAUAUAUAGUAUGGUCCCCUAAUGCAGAUUAACUAAGUAGGACCACUAGUGACCCCACAAUGUAGAUUAACUAAGCAGGAUCAUAAUCCCUUACUAGCCCUCAAUUUACAAAACAUUUCAAUAUGCAAUUCGAAUCACUUUUCCACAAAUAUUACCAAUCCAUGAAUCAAAUCACAUUUAAUAAAAAUAGAUUGAUGGCCAAUUAUAAAAGAAUCACAUUUUAACAGAAAACACAUUUAUAAAACCAUGUCAUAUCCACAAAUGGUAUUAAUAUAAAGAAUCGGGUAAUCACCAUAUCACAUAUAUUAAAGUCACUCACUGAGACAAGUCCGUAAAGCUUCACCGAAUCUCUAGUAAUACUAAUUUUAGUAAUUCAAAUGGUUCAAGACCUGUUGACCAAACAUCAAUAGCGGGGUCCACACCCUUACAAUUUAAUUCGGAAGAUACGCACAUCGUAUUUCAUAUCUGUAACUUCCUAAGGUCCACAUUAUGCUCAUAGAACAACAUACUAAAUUCUCAUCAAAAUCCGACGGCCGGAUCUCUGCCAAUUUCUAGAAUUAGGUAGCGGUCAACAAUUAGUUUCACAAACUUAGAAAUUCAAUGAGAGGAACAAGUUUCAUACCUGUGGCCAAGUCCAAUUUGAUCGGGAAACACCUCAAAUUGCCCACGAACCGCCGGAAACCCUUGAUUUGGGUGACUUCGAUCCGUCACCUCUGAUGCUCUGCCGCCUCCAAUGUUGUUUGGGCUUUGUUCCAUUGGUGGUGAUAAUUGGAGGAAAACGUUUCACAUUUGGUGGAUCUCGGCAUGGUUCCUCGCUGCACCCAAGGUGUAAAACCCUUGUGAAAUCACAAUCAAUUUUCGUCGAUUUUAGAUAGAAUUGGAUGUUGUGAUGUGGUGAUGAAGUUUGGUGGUGAUGAGAGGUUGAAGAAAGCCAGAAAAUUGGAUGGAAUAGCCGUCAGAAUAGUCACAAAAGGCGGGUCAGGUCAUGGGUACACGAGUCACAGAAGGGGGAAAUCAUGUUGGGUGUUUCUCACCCCCAUCUCUUUUCUUUCCUUACUCUCCCCUCCCAUUGGUUCACAUCCUCCCCUUUUCUUCUCUGAUUAGCCGCCCCUUACCCUCAUUUCUCUUCUUUUCUUUCAAUCCAGCUAUCCAUCUCUUUCCUUUCUCCAUCACAACCAUCCACAUGGCUUUCUAGAUUUUGUGGAGCAUUCCAUAUUAUGGUCAAAUGACAAUUUCAUCCAUAACUUUGCUCGUUCAUAACUUAUUCAUUAUAACUCUAUUUCACGAACAGUUUGCGCCCACGCGUUCAUGAGAUCGAGCUCUAAUUGAAAAUAUAAAUUGUGACCUCAAGACGUCUAUGGAUUUUAAAUAAUUAAUUUCCAAACUUCAACUUCGUAACUAGUUUAAUUGAAAUUUAAAUUCAAAUAAAUAAAUCUAAAUUCUCGAAAAAUAAUAUAAAAUCUCAAUAAUUCAAAUACGUAGAUUAUAACAGUGAAGUCUAGGAACGAGAUUUCACACAGGGGUAUACUUUAAAAGUUAUAAUAAUUUCAGCUAUUGGAUCAAAUUUCAACGGUACAGAUCCUGUAAUUUGUGGAUUAGGAGGAAGGGAUCCGGGGAGGAUCCCUGUAACAUCCCACAUCGCCCAGGGGAGUGGAUCCUGUAAACCUUAUAUGUAUAUUCCUAUCUCUACCUAGCAUGAGGCAUUUUGGGAGCUCACUGGCUUCGGGUUCCAUCGGAACUCCGAAGUUAAGCAAGAUCGCAGCUAGGGCAAUCCCUAGAUAGGUGACCCAUUGGGAAGUUCUCGUGUGAGUUCCCAGAAACAAAACCGUGAGGGCGUGGUCGGGGCCCAAAGCGGAUAAUAUCAUGCUACAAUGGAGCCCGAGAUGUGGUGGGGGCCUGGGCCGGGAUGUGGUGGGGGCCCGGGCCGGGAUGUGACAAUUUGGUAUCAGAACCAAUCCCUGACCGGAAGUGUACCAACGAGGACAUCGAGCCCCUAAAGGGGGUGGAUUGUAACAUCCCACAUCGCCAAGGGGAGUGGAUCACGUAAGCCUUAUAUGUAUAUUCUCAUUUCUACCUAGCAUGAGGCAUUUUAGGAGCUCACUGGCUUCAGGUUCCAUCGGAACUCCGAAGUUAAGUGAGAUAGCAAUGAAAGCAAUCCCAGGAUGGGUGAUCCACUGGGAAGUUCUUGUGUGAGUUCCCAGAAACAAAAUCGUGAGGGCAUUGUUGGGGCCCAAAGCGGACAAUAUCGUUCUAUGGUGAAGUCGAGCCCGGGAUAUGGUGAGGGCCUGGGCCGGGAUGUGACAAGUUUAAUUAAAAUCUAAAUUCAAAUAAAUUAAUAUAAAUUCUUGAAAAUAACAUAAAAUUUCAAUAAUAACAAUACGUAGAUUAUAACAACACCUUCGGUCACCAGCACGAUUUUUACACGGUUUUUUAGGCUUAAAAAUCACCAAAUUUGGGUGGAGAUGGUAGAUGGGAGGAUGUGGAAGAAGUUGUAGGUGUUGGAUGGUGGUCAUUCGAUGGAAAAAAUGGUGGAAUCGCUGGUAAUAGAAUCGGGUUGGUGUGCGGGGGUCUUUGCCCGAUUGAAAAGCUGGACUGGAAAAGAUUGUAAUAUACCUGACCAAUACACAUCACACAUAUUUAUUCCUUCAAUAAUUCAUUCUUGCAACCCACAUAUGGAGUUUCUCCCUGAAAACAUUGAGUCAUUGUGCCCACUCAUCCAUUGCUCACAUUCCACAAGUCAUUUUACCCAUUCCAACAUUCCUCCACAUUCCACGGCCUUUUUGUCCGAAUCAACAUCCACGGCAUUUUCCGCCUUAUUCAACAUUUCUCAAUUGCACAAGUAUAAUACGACUUUUCUAUCUACUUAUCACAAUUGCACAAUCAUCUUAACAUCAAAAUUUUCAUAUCGUAUAACAUAAUAUCAACCCAAUUUAAGAUUAAUUUGAGACUUUAAUCAAAUGCUCAUCUUUGAAGCUAUAACAUGAAAUAUGAUAUUUUAAAAUUUUUCUUCUCCCAUUCAAUCAUACAAACACAACCAUUUCACUUAUGGGGAUACAAGAAAAAGGUGAUUAAAUUAUUGUUUUUCCAAUGAUGAUUAUGACUAGAAACUUUAAAAUCUUAUGGCCAUGAUAAUUAUGGUUGGAAAUUUGAGUAUUUAUGAAAGUCACAAUGAUUUUACGGAUGAGAAUGAAAUCACAACCCGAGGCUAUGAUUGGUUUAAUAUGUAGUGGUGAGUAAUUGUGAUUCGAAAUUCCAAUUUGGCCAGAAUUUCUGAUGUUUGAUUUGCCAAUUCUGACAGUUUGGUUUGAAAUUUUGAUAUUUAUUUGGCCAAUGAGGGUUCCGGCUGGAAAUUAUGAUAUUGUUUCACUAAUGAUAAAUGCUUGUGGUUAUAAUGGUAGUAUUUAUCUAGCUAAUGGUAGAUGUGGUUUGAUAAUCUGGUAUUUAUUUAGCCAAUGAGGAUUGCGGCUUGAUGUUUGAUAAUUAUUUUGCAAUGUAUAUGGCUAGAAAUUCUUAUAAUUAUUCUACCAAUAAAUGUUGCUGGGAAUCUAAGUAUAUGGGUGAGAAUCACGAUGAUUUUCGUUGAUUUAUUUAUUUUGAGCUUGAAUAAACUCAUAGGCUAAGGUUAUGACUUUAUUCACUAUAAAUUGGAUGAUGGGGAAAGUUUGUAAUUGCAAAUUUGGUUGGUUUGGUUGCUAGAAUCAUGAGUAUCUUGAAGAAUUCUUGUUAGUAGUGGAAUUCUUUGUGAUUGUGCAAGAUUGGUGAUGAAGUCAUGCUGAGACGAUGAUAAUUGUAUUUGUGAGUUGUGAUUCAAUGUUGUCGAGCUUGAUGUUAACUAAAUUCAAUUAGAAUUAAAGAGUGAAUGCCAUUUCGAUGUUGUUAUUCAAUUGAUUUGUGGCAUUGGUGGAUAUGGGAUUGACACUGAAAUUUCGAGGACGAAAUUUUUUUUAGGGGGAAAGAAUGUGAAAUCCUGUUCCCGGAUUUCACUGUUAUAAUCUAUGUAUUGUUAUUAUUGAAAUUUUAUGUUAUUUUGGGAAUUUAUAUUAAUUCAUUUGAAUUUAGAUUUUAAUUAAACUAGUUACGAAGUUUGAAGUUUGGAAAUUUAUUAUUUAAAAUCCGUAGAUCUUUUGAGGUCACAAUUUAUAUUUCUGAAUAGAGCUCGAUCUCACGAACGCAUAGGCGAAAGCCGUUUACGCGUCCGAAGUAUAACGGUACAGUUACGGACACCUGAAGUUGUAUUUCUAAACUAUAGAUUUUAAUUUUCUUUAAAACUCUCGUGGAAAUGGUGACCAAUGAAAGGGAGGACCAGCCCAAUUAUGUGGAAGUGAAAGGGGGCCAAUUAGAAGUAAGGAAAAAAGCAAGGACCAAUGGGGGGAAAAUGAUUUUUUUUCCUUCCAUUUUUCGUGGCCCCUUUACCUGCGCCAACCCGGAGUGGUUUUCAGCCACUUCCAUCAUUUUUUUCAGGCGAAAUUCAACUAUCUCUGACCUGCAACCUUUUAUACCAUCUCCCAUCUUCCAUUCCCACCCAAAAUUGAGGGUUUUUAGGUCUAAAACCGUGUGGGUUACCCAAGGAGUUUUGACGGCGAUUCCGCCGUUCCAGUGAGUCUCACCACCCACCACCACCCUUAAUCAACUCCCCUUGGAUCCAAGAACAAGACCCAAUCAGUUGUAGGGGCGUUGGAACAUCGAGGAAGUCAAAUCGAAGCACACUCAUUUUAGGGUUUCCGAUGGUUAGAGUGAAAUCCAAAUUGGACUUGACCACAUGUAGGAAACUUGUUCCACUCAUUGAGAUCUACAUACCUGUAAAAUUUGGUAAUUUUUUGAAUUAGUUGAAUUUUACGGCGAGUCGGGGCAGUCGACCGCCACCCACGGCGGCGCAUGCGACGGUGGGUGGCCAGGCCGACGAUGUCUUUCUAAGUCCAAAUAGUUGCCCUGAAUUCAUAAUUGAUAUAUGUAUGAAGUGGUUUGAUUGUUUGAACUUAGUUUCAUUAUGAUACAUCACUUGAUCAAAAUUUGAAUUGAUGAUCCGACCAUUAGAUCGUCACCAAACUUUAAUGCAUUAUAGAACGUAAUAUUUGAGGAUAGCUGGAAUUGAUGGAUAGGGAAUCCAACGUACGGAUCUUCCUGAUUUGGAUUUCUAAGUUGGUAAAAUUAAUUGUUAACUGCCACCUAUUUCUAGCAAUUGGCGGAGAUCCGACCAUCAGAUCGCAAUGAGAAUUUAGUAUGUGGUUCUAUGAGUAUAAUGUGGACUUUGGGAAGUUAUGGAUCAGAAAUCUGAUGAACGGAUCUUUCGAAUCGAAUUACGUAGGGUUGUAGACCCUAUCGUUGAUCGAGAGUUGACUUUUGGUCAACAUGUCUCGAAACGUUUUAAAUACUAAAUCUAGUACCAUGGAAUAUUAAGUGAAGUCUAGUGGGACCACUUUGGUCUGGGAGUGACUUGAAUAUAUGUGAUAUAGUUAUUGCUUUGAUUUCUUAUAUUAAUAUCAUAUGUGAAUAUGAUUUGGGUUAUAAAUGAAAUUUCUAUUGAAAUGUGAAUAUUAUAUAUAUAUGCCAUAGAUCUAUGGUUAUUAAAUGUGAAUUCUAUUGAAGUGUUAUUUUUAUUUCUGGCUAUUGAUCUAUUUUUAUUAAGUAUGAUUUGACUUGUGCAUUGGAAAUAUGAUUUGUAUUGUAUGAUUGGAUUGAUGUGAUGAAAUGUGAGGGAUAGUAGUGGACUGUUAACCCAUUGUCAUGGGGUUUGUUGCUUCGAAACAUGUUUCACCCCUUGUGUCAUUAUUUCAUUUCUCGUUUCGUUGAGUCUUUGUAACUUGAUUAACCUAACUUGAUUCAUGUCCUGUUUCAUUGAUUGGUGUUGUACAUUGUACUUUACGAUUCCGUUGAGUGAUGGUCCGGAAUCGUAUCCGUUUAGAUUCCGUUGAGUGAUGGUCCGGAAUCCCUUCUACUUCGUGAUUCCGUUGAGUGAUGGUCCAGAAUCGUAUCCUGGUUUGGAUUCCAUUGAGUAAUGGUCCGGAAUCCCUUUUACUCCGCGAUUCCGUUGAGUGAUGGUCUGGAAUCAUAUUCUGGUUUGGAUUCCGUUGAGUGAUGGUUUGAAAUACCCUUUGGUGUCUUGGUUUUGUUGGGUGGUCCGAAAUCCCCUUUGUCUAAAGAUGUAGGCUUCGGCCGAACUGUGUUGCUCUAGCCCUGCAUUUCAAUGUGUUGUACGUGUUAUUAUUUGGUGUGAUUAUUGGAUAAUGUUGGAUGUAAUUGUUAUGAUUAUGAUAGACCGUUGACCAUUAUGGCUAUGGAUUAUUAUUGCGCUUCGUCGAUUGCUCUUUGAGAUGUUGCUCGUGCUGAAUUGUGUAUUAUGUUGAGACAUGGCGGUUUAUGUGAGGAAUAUUCGAGUGUAGUGAAAAGGGUGAACUACGAAUGACUUGAUCCCUAUUGAGGGUACGUAGGCAGUCUAACAAGGAGGUUAGAUGCAGCCAUAAAGUAUACAAAAAUUACAACGCAAUUCAAGUAUUGAAUUAGGCUUGUACAUAUCUCGGAGGCGAGGUAUGUUAGAGAAACGGGAAUUUGGUUAUGUCACGUGUCGAUCAUGGACGUAUGUCGGGAUCAAGACGUGACAAUCCCCUUCCCUUUUCUAGAAUCUAUAAUUUUGCCCAAAACAAAAUAAUCAUACUUUGAAUCACAUUAUAUCUAGCCUAUUGUAAGACUUAACCUACUUUCCAGUAUAGAUAAUAUGAUUGUUAAAAAAACAAAUUAAAAAAAAAAUCGUACUUGGAUACAUUACCGUACAAAUUUAUCCACAAACAUAAACAGACGAAAGUACGAAAUUACCCCGAAAUUACGCGUAAACUAUUAGCGCCAAGCGGACGUGACCCCGAAAUUAGAAGAAAAUUAGAAUUAAUAUUUUAAUUUGAGAUCCGCCAGAAAACCACGUUCGUUAAUAUCAAAUCACCCUCCCCUCCGCGCGUAUAAAUACAAAUCCGAUGCGGAAGCAUUCUCCUCAACCAAACGUCAUUGCACAGCUCGGACCCUGACGGAUGAACCGUUAGGGUGGAAAGGCAAUACCACUAGCGCCAACUCGCUCCCGGCGACCCGGUCCCCACACUCGUCAGAGUCCCAACCCGAGCUACUGCGGCGACUCCCUUCGCGUUUUGAUCUGUUGAGAUCCGAGGUAAUUCAGUGCUCUUCGGGCGUCGAUUCGAUCGGACUUUUUGGCAAUGUGUUUGGUGUCGGUUGGAUUGAAUUGUUCAAAAAGUUGAUUGAUUUGAUUGCUUCGAUUCGCAUGUUUUGGUGAAUUUGCUUGGGAUUUUGAGCUUUGAAUUCGUCGUCGAAGUAUUUUUUAGAUUAACUUCAUGUAUAAUGACAGAUCCGGUGGAGUUUCUGUGAUUAAUUGCGUUGGUAAUGUCAGCACAGUUUCUAUGAUUUCUGUUGAAUUUUUCCGGUUAAAGUUGCUCGAGCCAUGUAAUUUUGCGUAAUUUAUUUGGUUAAUGGGGAAUUAUUUAGGUAGAAAGUAUGAUUGUGUCUUUCUUUAGAUUUUGUUGGUGUGAAAUUUCUGCUUUUUAGCUUCUUUGGUAGCUGAAGUUUCGAGCUUUUCGGAUGUCGGUGAACGGGGAAUGUGAAUUUCCGUGAUGAUUAAUGUGUUUUUUUUGGGGGUGGGGGGGGGGGGGUAAAGAAAUGAUCUGAACUAAGUUGAAGUUGCCUGUAAGAUUUUCUGACUGUACUAAUAUCCCAGGGAAAGCAGAGGGCAUAUCAAAAUGAAGGCACUUAUUCUUGUUGGAGGCUUCGGGACGCGUCUGCGGCCGUUGACACUCAGUUUUCCCAAGCCACUUGUUGAGUUUGCUAACAAACCCAUGAUCCUGCAUCAGGUACAAUUGCUCUAGCAAUUGAGAAAUGUUUUUUUUUUUUAAUCCGUUUGUUGGAGUGGAUUUCCUUUUGUUGAUCUUGAGCCUAAACAUUAUUACUUUUUGUAUAAGAGGAAUUGUCAAAAACCUCAAAAUAUAGUGCUUACCUCAAAUCCUCACUCCGUGUUUUAUGUACGCAUGCUUUUGUGAUCGUAUAAAUCACGAGUUGAUACAAUUUUGUUGUUUUUUGCUUUCAGAUAGAGGCUCUUAAGGCAAUUGGCGUGACAGAAGUGGUUCUGGCUAUCAAUUACCAACCAGAGGUAAGCGAGGCCAUCGUUUUGCGAAAAGUUUGAUUUUAUACUUGACGAGAUUCAUGCUACCGAAGGUUCUUUGAAUGCUUAUGCUCUUUAUCAUUUCUGCAGGUGAUGAUGACUUUCUUGAAGGAGUUUGAGGAAAAGGUUGGCAUCAAGAUCACAUGCUCACAAGAGACUGAGCCCCUUGGCACCGCUGGACCUCUGGCUCUUGCUAGGGACAAACUGAUUGACGAUUCUGGCGAGCCCUUCUUUGUCCUUAACAGUGAUGUUAUCAGCGAGUACCCGUUUAAGGAAAUGAUUGAAUUUCAUAAAGCCCAUGGAGGAGAAGCUUCCAUUAUGGUGACCAAGGUAACAUUGAGAUGAUAUUUUGCUUAUACUUUGCACUCAGCUUCCUUCCAACCUUGAUAUCACUGAAAAUAACUUCUUCUUUUCAUAUAGGUGGAUGAGCCGUCGAAAUAUGGAGUGGUGGUUAUGGAAGAGUCUACAGGGAAAGUUCAAAAAUUUGUAGAGAAACCCAAGUUGUUUGUUGGUAACAAAAUCAAUGCUGGAAUUUACCUGCUGAACCCCUCCGUUCUUGAUAAAAUUGAACUCAGACCAACCUCAAUUGAGAAAGAAGUAUUCCCAAAAAUCGCAGCAGAGAAUAAGCUCUUCGCAAUGGUCCUUCCAGGGUUUUGGAUGGACAUUGGGCAACCAAGGGAUUAUAUUACCGGCCUGAGACUAUACCUGGAUUCGUUGAGGAAGAACUCUUCAUCCAAGUUGGCCAGAGGCGCCCACAUUGUGGGAAAUGUUCUGGUGGAUGAGACAGCCAAAAUUGGCGAGGGAUGCCUGAUUGGACCGGAUGUUGCAAUCGGUCCAGGCUGCAUUAUCGAGUCGGGAGUCAGGCUCUCUCGCUGUACAGUAAUGCGUGGAGUCCGCAUCAAGAACCAUGCAUGCAUUUCCAGCAGUAUAAUCGGAUGGCACUCCACCGUUGGACAAUGGGCUCGUGUAGAGAACAUGACCAUCCUCGGAGAAGAUGUGCACGUGAGCGAUGAGAUUUACAGCAACGGAGGUGUGGUUUUGCCCCACAAAGAAAUCAAGUCGAGCAUUUUGAAGCCGGAAAUUGUAAUGUAGGGUGUACGCUGUCCCUUAAGUUCAAAUUACAGAACAGAAUUUGGUGUCAAGAGAUGUAGUAAGUAAGUUAUGUUGUUUGAUAUGUAUUUGUUGUUUUAAUACUUCCCGUUUAUACAGUGCAGGGGCUCUGCUGCUCCAUUUGUGAUGUUUUUGGAAGUUUUGGGGCCGUUGGUUGUCCUCUGUGACUUGGAAUUGUUGUGAAUUGUGUAUUGUUUUUUGGUGUAUAUAGGAAUAAAUUUAUCAGUCACUCUCUGGCUGUGUAACUUAUUAAUCAAGCUUGAAUUCUUUUUUAUUAAUAUUAAUAAUAUUUUGUUUUUUGCAUUUUUUAAUUAAGUGGGUACUUUGCUUCCAGUGUUGGUAUCUCUACUAGAUCUGGGAAGAUUCCAUGACCAUUGAUCAAAAGUGUCGGCAGCAUAGAUUAUGUGAAUUAUGUCAGCGGGUCAAAGAAAUAUGCAGCGUGCCCGUCUCUUAGUUUGAAUCGUUUUUCCGGCGAUUAGAGUAGUUUUAUUCUGAUUCUUGUCAGAAUACAAAGACAAUGCAUUUCAUGGGUGUAUCCCAAACGUUUCUUUGUUUGUCACAAAUGAUACCAAGAGAGGGGAAACUUAAACACAAGAUUUCGAGUGCAUGAGUCAGUGUUCUCAGCUCGUUCCUUUGCGGAUUUGAAUAUUUUGCAUUUUCUGGUCCAAUCAAAAUGAGAAUGUGAAAUCAUGGACCCGUUGUCAUCCAUCCCUAUUUCCUGCCACACAAGGCAAAUCCCUAUGACGGGCUUCGUCCACAACAGCAUAUUAUUCUACUAAGUGAGUGAGACUGAGAGGGACAUAAGCAGAAAUAUCAGCGAUUUGAAGAACCAAACAAAAAGGUCUUAGGUGUUGUAAUUGUUGUCACACAUUUAUGCGUGACGUCAGUGAGCACCUCAGCCAUCUUUUAUCUCCCAGAAGUUGACACUUUGACGGACAAUGAAGGCUUUGAUUAUGUAUCACUAGUUAGUGAUAAUUAAAGACUUAUUUGAAAGUUUUUUUUUUUUUUUUUGGUCGAAAGAGUUGGAGACUCGGAAUUCAUUAAAGAUAAAACAUAUUACAAAACCAACAACAGAUAAAAACAGUGGGAGGCCCAACCCACAUCGACAAAAGCCUAGAACAGAAAACAAACGACAAAAAGAAAACCUAAUCUCUAUCAAGGAGGAGCAGCCUGCCGCCACCAAAUUCUCGCCAGCAACCACCAGAGUGACCGCCAUGUAGGAACCAAACAGAAGGUGGAUCCGCAAAGAGUCCAGCACAGCCAAAGUAACCCAUAGAACCAAGUAGACACAAUACCAGGGGGGGAGGAGGGCCAAGGGGAUGUGUAAAACACCCUUACUACGAUGGAGGCCGCAUAACACUUCGCCCAAAUUUUCCGGCAUGCCGGUAAAACAAAGGGCAAUGGGGUAGAGAUCUACAUCCCAAAUCGAGUCCAAAACUCGAAGAUUUGAUUUUUGGUAGGUAUAAUGGGGAAGUGAUGGAAAGGUUAAAGGUGGAGGUGCCAGGGGAAGGAAGGGGAAAUCAAAGAAAUGGAUGUGAGAGAAAACAACUGAAGAACUGAAAUUUGGGUUUGAAAAAAGGGCAAGAUGUAGGAGGAAAAGAAAGAAGAGCUGGUAAACGGCGAAAGACACCGGACAAAGAGGUCUUGACCUUACAAUCCGACAGCCAUAGACAACGGAAGGGCAGGUCAUAGACAUAAUGAAAGGAGAAGAGAAGAAAAAUGAAGAAGAGAAAGGAGGAUGUUAUGAUCCCACAUUGACUACACUUAUGGGAGUGUAGGGGUUCUUAAGUCCUUGGGGUCCUCCCACCUAUUGGACUAGUCUUUUGGGUUAGGCUCUUCCUUUGGGCUUGAGUACCUAACAUUGGUAUCAGAACCUAGGUGCCCGAUGCUGCGGGUCUUGGUGACGUGACGUGCCGCCUCGUGAUUACCGCCUUGGGAGUAUGGGCUCCAAGGGACUUGGUGACGAGGGACUGGGCGACGUGAUUACUGCCGUGGGCGUCGGGUCUUCCGAAGGGUGGUGUAAUGUUAUGAUCCCACAUUGACUACACUUAUGGGAGUGUAGGGGUUCUUAAGUCCUUGGGGUCCUCCCACCUAUUGGACUAGUCUUUUGGGUUGGGCUCUUCCUUUGGGCUUGAGUACCUAACAUUUAUUGUUAUGAACCCAAUUUGUAAUUGAGGUUUAUGCUUAAAGUAAAGAGUCAAAUUAGUUGUAAUUGAUGGUUUUUACUGGUUAUUAGGGGAAUUUGAUAGAAAUGCCAGCUGGCAGUCACACUUCAUGUAUAAGAGCACAUGCUCUUUGGUUUGAAACGGAACAGAAUUUAACAAAACAAAUCAAUACAAAAAUAUUGGAGCUCUGCUCCUUCUAUCUUCCUCCUUCAUUCCCUUCUAUGUGCAAUAGUUAAGGUUUGAGUUAGGGUUUAAGAUUUGGGUUCUAACAAUGGUAUCAGAGCCUAGGUGCCCGACGAUGCGGGUCUUGGUGACGUGACGUGCCGCCUCGUGAUUACCGCCUUGGGAGUAUGGGCUCCAAGGGACUUGGUGACGAGGGACUGGGCGACGUGAUUACCGCCGUGGGCGUCGGGUCUUCCGAAGGGUGGUGUAAUGUUAUGAUCCCACAUCGACUACACUUAUGGGAGUGCAAGGGUUCUUAAGUCCUUGGGGUCCUCCCACCUAUUGGACUAGUCUUUUGGGUUGGGCUCUUCCCUUGGGCUUGAGUACCUAACAUUGGUAUCACCCAUAUCAAUUCCUGGAUUCCCUUCUGUGCACACCCGCCAAUCCGCUGCUACUUGCGACAUUGCCUUGGAAUCCCGUCUUGCUUCCUUGGAGGCUUGCGUCGCUGCUUUACCUUCCCUCAUCACCGCUGCGAUCGACCAGGCCUUCGCCGACUCUCUUACACAAUUUCGUCGCGACAUGUUCUUUCAAGGUGCCGGGGAAGGUAUCUCUGCCCCUUUUGCAAGCGAUCAUCAUGGUUCUCCUGCAAUUGAUCUGAUUCAGCUAACUCGGAGCCCAAUCUGCGCUGAAGGAGCCCAAUCGCAGCUUAGUCCGUCGGCAGUCCAAGCUCCACCGCUGCUUUCAUCUUCACCGUUGUUGCAAGCACUUGCAACUUCGGCCGUCAAGCCACACUCGAAGGACUCCGCUGCAACUACAGUUUUGCGUCCGGAAUCGAAAGCAGGGAUUCAUGUUUCAACGAUAACCUCUGCUCUGCGGCUACUCCAUGAGCACUCGUUCUCUGAUACUACGAAAAAUAGACCUGAGGUAGUUCUUAAUUUGAGUAUCAUUUCAGCAACUUCGGAGGCUAAAUUCCCUUCUCUUUUGACUGAUAACUAUGGUGCAUACCUGAAAGAUAAAUUUGGAUGGGUUCAUUGGUAUCUUGUGGGAAAAUUUGUGAAGAAGAAUUUAUGUGCAUUGAAACUGUUUAUGAAAUGUCUAAGAGACAGAAUGACAAUAUGUUCAUUCAGCCACUGGUUGAAGUUCUCCAUCUUGACUAUCUUGCCAUCCAGCUCCAUUAUUUUGACUUAAAUUGCUACCUUGGUUUUGAAUAUGGAAGUACAAUUGUUUUAGGUAGAGCUUUUGCUUGUUCAUCUGGUUUUAGUCAGAAGCCUAUGUUUGGAGCUUUUGGGUCCAAUCUUGCUCAACCAAGUCCUUUUGAAAGUCCAACUCAAACAUCACAGGCAGCAUUUGGGGGCAGUAUAAUUGGUUCCUCCACGCCAAUUGGUGACAUAUGCUACUGUAAUGGCAUUUGGGAUAAGGGUGGAGGCUCUCAAUUCAACAAAAUGCAAUUGAAGAUGGCGGUGGCUCGAAUAAAGCUGCUGAGGAACAAAUGGCAGGUGGUAGUAAAGCAAAUGAGGCGUGCCAUUGCCUUGCUCCUACAAUCUGGUAAAAAUGCUACUGCUCGAAUUCGGGUUGAACAUGUGAUUAGAGAACAUAACACUUUGGCUGCCAAUGAGUUCAUUGAGCUCUUCUGUGAAUUAGUAGUAUCUAGACUUUCUAUCAUCGCAGAGCCAAAGGAGUGUCAGCCUGGUCUCAAAGAAGGAAUUGCUAGUUUAAUCUUGGCCUCUUCUAGGUGUUCUGAGAUUUUGAAACUGAUCUCACUAAGGCAUAUUUUUUAGGAAAAGUAUGGUAAAGAUUUGUAUCUGCGGCUGUUGAUGUACGUCCCUGCUGUGGUGCGAAUCACAUGUUGUGGUGUGAAGGAGGACAUAUGCGGUUUGUAGACUCAGCUUCAAAAUCUGCCAGUUAUGCAAUGGCUGCUGCACAAGUUGCUGCAUAUUUGGCCAACACGGACUGCAAUCAGGACAUUAAUAUUGUAUCUCUCAAGAAAAUAAAAGAAGCUUCCCCAUUGAGUUUGAUAGUUUCCUUACGAUCGAUAUGUGAGGGCAGAUUUCAAUCUCUUGACCAGUUUCUAUCUCGUGAAUAUUGUAUAUCUCUUGCUGACAAUAUAGAAAGUAAAGUCAAGGUGAGGGAGGAAGGUUAUUCUCAACUCUUUUCUGAAGUGCAUAAAUUUGCUGAUGUGAUUUCCGAAUUCAACAAUAUGGUUUCUGCAAUUCCAGCGAUGGUUACACAGUCUGAUGAGCUUAAGCUUAAGUUCGAUGAAGGGUCCACAAUGAGCAAGCUUUGGAUUGUGAAUGUGGGUGGUAGUGAGAGUCUAGCAAAAACUGAAGUUCUAGGGGAAAGCCUUAAGGAAGCUCAAAACGUCAAUAAAUCUCUUUCAGCUCUUGGGGAUGUGAUCUCAGCUUUGUCAAGAAUUAAGGCUUUGAACUGGGUGGGACAUGUGGAUGAAGACAAUGCCAAGGCCAUAUCCUUGUUUGAGAAUGUAGUGGACCUUAGUGAUGCUAUUGAAGAUGAAGUCAAGUGGGUAGAGAAUCUGAUUAGAGGAAUAGUUGCUGGAAAUAUAUUUGAUCUUGGUAAUGCACAGCUUGCAGAAGUUCUCUCAAAGAAGGGUAUGUCCUUUUUAGUUACUUGUCAAAACCUUAUCCCUCAACCUUGGGUUAUCGAUGACUUAGACGUGGCAAUGGUUGUGUGUGUAAGAUCUGCGUGCAGGCAUUCAGGUGCAUUAGACCAUGGAAUAAUGGUGUACUCUGCCUGCUCUAUAAAUUCACUUGGAAAUGAAGAUGUGGUUGCUGAGAUUUUGCGGAGAGGUGGUGGGGCUCUUCACGGUAUCAAAUUACAAGGAAUAUCAACGUCCAUUGAAGAUAAGAGCAAGAAAAAGAACCAUCUUGUCUUCUUAGAUAUAUCAAUUGAUAGGGACCUUGUGGAACAAAGCAAGAAGAAGAACCUUCAUGUCUUUUUAGAUAUAUCAAUUGAUAGGGACCCUGUGGAACAACUUGUUAUUGAGUUUUUUGUUGAUGUUGUUCAUCAGACAACAGGGAAUUUCAGGGCUCUCUGUACAGGUGAUAAGGGAUCAACAUGUCAUCGAGCAAUAAAUGGUGGUGAGAACAACAUCAAAUGUGUGGUCAGAAUUUAUCCAAUGCUUGAAAUGGCAAACAUUGCUGAUGUGCAGGACUUGAGUUUUAUUAUGGAAUUUGGGAAUAAAAGUGAUAUGGUGCUGAAUAUUUUGCAGCCUAGCCAUAAUGUUGUGAGAAAUGACGCUAUGGACCAAGAAGGUAAAGGAACAAAUGGAGUUGAGCCUCAUGACUUACGACCCAUUAUAUUUGAGUUACCUCUCCUUGAUCCUGAGGAAGUCAACAAUGGUGUGCUUGAGGUGUCUGAACUAAAUGCUAUGGCUGAGAAGGUAAUUGCAGUGCGGAAUAAACAAGUAGCUAUUGAUGGUGAGGUUGUUGCUAUGACUGUUGAUGGAGUGAAUGAUGCACCUACUUUGAAACUUGCUGAUAUUGGGAUUGCAAUGGACAUUUCUGGAACUGAAGGAGAAUGCUGCUGCGUUCAAACAAGUUUCCACAGUUUCUUUUUUAAGCCUUGAGGACAAGGCUAAUUUUCAAGGGGGAAAUAUUGUUAUGAACCCAAUUUGUAAUUGAGGUUUAUGCUUAAAGUAAAGAGUCAAAUUAGUUGUAAUUGAUGGUUUUUACUGGUUAUUAGGGGAAUUUGAUAGAAAUGCCAGCUGGCAGUCACACUUCAUGUAUAAGAGCACCUGCUCUUUGGUUUGAAACGGAACAGAAUUUAACAAAACAAAUCAAUACAAAAAUAUUGGAGCUCUGCUCCUUCUAUCUUCCUCCUUCCUUCCCUUCUAUGUGCAAUAGUUAAGGUUUGAGUUAGGGUUUGAGAUUUGGGUUCUAACAGAGGACUACUUGCCAACCCCAACCAAAGGAAGGAGUCGGCGGCGAAGAGUUGGGGGAUCUUUGCGAGAGAGAGAAAAAGGGGCGGCUAGGGUUUUUGCGUAUGGAAGAGGGGUAUCGGAGUAGAUUUGUUUGAAAAUGUUUUUAGAGAAAAUAUUUUUAGGUUUCAAAAACAUUUAAAGUGCUUUAUGUAGUCAUUUAGCACCACGAUCUAAUAGUAUCCUUCUUCACUUGUAAGUGAGAAAUCUUAGGUUCGAUUCUCGCCAAAGGCAAAUAUGAACCACAUUAUUGCUAGUCCAUUGUGAGGCUAAGCCAAACCUCUUCCCUCUUAGUGUAGAUAAAAUCAUUUGUUAAAAAAAAAAAGUACUUCCUGCAGGAAACACAAGUGUUUCUUACCAUAAUCACUUUAAGUGCUUUUCAAAUAUUCAUUUGUAUUUUUACUAAGAAUUGGUUCCAAAAACAAUUUUUACCAGAAACGCUUUCAGUCAUUUUAAAAGCACUUACAAUCGAGACCUAAUUAAAAGAAAAUGAAAGAAACAAGGGUAAAAUGGGAAAUUAAAAAAUGAAACGACAAAAGGAAAAGCAACUAAUCAAGUGUGGUCUACCAUGUGAAAUUCCACCAGAUAAAAUAAAGCAAAGCAAGAGAGCCAACAGUACAGCAAAAUGAUUACACUCUAGAGACAGCAGACCUACUUCCAUUACAAAAAUUAACACACAUGAUGAUUUUCAAGUCAUGGACCCCACACCUCUUGUCCCAAUCAAAGGAUGGAGCUGCUCAAGAAUUGUGAUUGACAAGUGGAAAUCCAUCCAGAAGAUCAAAACCUUAUGAACCUACAAGACGGAGAAGGAUUUUCAUGCAACGGGAAUGCCAUUAUAACAGUAUCUCAAGCUAACUACACUGCACGGCUGGCUGGCUCGGGAUACUGCUCUAGUGGCAUCCCCGUAGUUGUAGAUUUCUCUCCAUAUAGGGACAACAGUUCUCAGAUGUAUUUACAGGGGCAAAUUGAAGAAUAUGUAGAAUUUUUUCAAGCUCAGACUGCGCCUAACAACCGAAACAUGACAAUGGACGAAACAGCAAGGAGGAACCAUGAGAUGAAAGCAAAGGCAACGGCAAUUUGGAACCUGCUGCAUGGAAGAUGAAUUGGCCUGCUGCAGUAAUUCAAAUCUCUCGAGUACAGAACUGUCACCCCCGCUGAUGAGCAUGCAGCGGCUAAUGACAGAGUAGACGUCACCUGCAUUUUUCAUUUUUGUUAAACAUGAAUUAGUUGAUAAGGAAAUUGCUUCGGUUUUUAUACACCGAACCAUAAACAGAAUCAAAACUCUGAAGUAAACAAUCUGUUAGUAGUGAUAGUGCAAUAGCUACAAGAAACGGUUAAAGCACAAUGAAACCUUUCAUUUGGGAAGGUGAUACUUUCUUUCCAGAAAAUUUUAGUAAAUAUCAUGUUGUAGUCUUAAGUGUAGCAAAGGAUCACCCGAAAAGCUUUAUUCAUUUCUAAGUUAAUCAGUAUCCUGAAGAUCACACAACGGAAUUGAAGUUUUCGACUGACCAUGUUUUCUCAAACAUUUUUCAGCUACUUAGUUGUCCCGAUGAUCCAACAUUUGUUCCACGUGAUCAGAAUAAGUUUCAAUUAAUAAGUGCAUAAAUUCUCUGAAAACUUCUCCCAACAUCUCCAGUCCAUCAGAAAUAAUGCAUAACCCUUAAAAUUAACGAUGACACACACACUUGUUUCUGAAAACUAAAUGCGAAAAACAAUCCAUAAAUAAAUGAAGAAACUUACCCAAUCCCCAACAACAAAUAGGCUCACUAAAAUGGGAUUCUGCAAGCUUCUCUUUGACCUCAAAGCAUGUAAAUCAAGGCAAGCAAGUCCAAAACUCCAAACAACUUGAAGCCCCAUUGAUGCAAUUAAAUAGCUGCAUCCAAAUAAAUGCAGGUAAGAAUUAUACAACUAUUCAAACCUAGAAGCAUGUAAACUUCAAACCAUUUAGUGGAAAGGAAUGCGACUCUAUGCACCUUAAAAGUUAGGCUCACAAAUAACACUUCCAAGUUCUAUGAACACAACUGAUCAAUAAAUUGAGGUGGGAAGGUGUUACUACUUAUCAGAACACAUACAAACUAAGGAAAGGCUUUAUGAACCGAAAAUCAAUUAAACACACGUUAACACGUGAAAACUACAUGGUCACAAUAUCUCAAGAAACUUCUUCAAACCUCUCUAUAAGUGGGAGAAAUGAAAUCAUCGUAGGGGAAGAAAAUCAUUAGCUACCAAGGAAGCAGAAUGGUACGGAAAUCCAGAAUGAUAGGAAAGACUUCAUUGACUUGUGGUUAUGUGAUAGAGAGAAAGAGAGAGGGGUUAUUGGGAUGACGUUUAGGAAUGCUGCAAAGAGAAUUAUAGCUUCAAUUCGCCAUUGUCACCGUACAAAGACAUCUUAUGAUGUUCAGGUUUCUGCAAACAAAAUAAGGUGGAAUAAAAUACGAUUUUUUAUUCCUAUGUGGAAGGUAUAGGUUCAAUAGGAGGAGAUUCUUAUACUUAACAUGUACAGAUUUAAGCUCAGAGGUCAACCAUAGAAAAACUCAAGAACCAAGCAUACAUUAGUAAAUGAUUAGCUUAACAUUUUACGACAAUACCUUGGUAAGUGAAUAAAUAAGAGCGAAAACAAGGUUAAGGCCAACAACAUGAAAUUUGCUUUUACCACUUUCAGAACCAUUAACCACAUCUCUAAAUACUAGGAGACUUAAAUUUGUUCUCCUUUACUUCCUCCUCAUUAAUUUCUAUGUAAUUGGUGAAGAGAAACGCUAAGAAGACUCUCUCAAAAGUGGAACUCUCCGUACUCUCUCUCACCUCAUAUUUUUUGCAGUAUUUUAUAAUUUUUUGGCACGGAAAUUGCGUUAAACUGUGGGGUGGCAGAGAAUCCAAGUCUCCUUAGCAUUUUUCAAUUGGUAAAACUUAGCAAGGGAAUCCGAUCCACACCACUUUCCUUUCUAAUUAAACCCUUUUUUUUUCCAUUAAUAGAGAAUCCCAACCGGGUUAAAUUUUGCUACAAAUUGAACAAAUCCGAAAUCGAUCAAUAAAAACUCAACCAUUUCAAAAUACCCACCAGGGGAUAACAGAAUCUACGAAAGUUUUCUUGUAAAAAAUGUAAAAAAACAGAAAGACAUAAUAAGAAGGGGAAAACAAAAUACCAAAAUGCAGUGGCAUUGAAGAAUCCAUGAGCAGAAAGCAUCACCCCAAUAGCAGCGGCAGCAAAACAGCACUGCCCAAUUCUCAGUGCCAGCCCACUCACCUUCCCUGGGCUCCCAAACAGCUUCUUCAUCCCUUCCCUCCACUCUCUCUCUCUCUCUUUCUCUCUCUCUCUCUCUAAGCUCAAGGGGACCGUUUUCUGAGUCCUACAGAUGAGCCCUAACUUUCAUAUAAUUCCACCAUUAACGCAAUAAGAGCUAAAGAACUCAACUUUUGGAGGGGAGGCUUAAAAUGUGGGAUCUUCAGAGAUAAAGUUGAGAUUUUGAGUUGAAGAAGAAAAAGUGGAAUGGGAUGGCAGGAAUGGAAUGCUCUCAUCAUCUCUCCGAGAGGCUGCUUUAUCUCUCUCUCUCUCUCUCUCUCUCUCUCUCUCUCUCUCUCAUGGGUCUCUCUCUCAUUGGUCCUCCAUCAAAUAUAAAAUAUAGUUAGAUUUGGGCCCUCAAUGUGAAGAAAGUAGAAGAAAAGAAUUGUAUUCUUGGAGGAGCCCAAUAGGUAGAUUGCAUUUUAUAUGAGCCCACUCAAUUGUUUUUUUUGGAUAUUAUUAUAUCUCUUACACAUCAUUGUUAAUUUUUAAUCAUUGAUUUUCUUCAAUUUCUCUGAUUUGACGUCCAAAAAGUGAAAGAGACGAGUGAGAAAUGAAAAUGGGCGUGUAUCUUACCCAUUCUUUUUUUUUUUUUUUGUGGAGAAGAAGGAAUCAAAUUUGAGACAUCAAUAGCAUGUUUACGAGACUGUAAUCAGAAUCAAAUUGCGGAAUUAGAUUCUGAUCACGAGAUAUACUUUCGUUUAUAAACUUGGGAAUUCAAUUCCUCGUUUUGAAGGAAUUUGACUCCAUAAAACAUUGGUCGCAAAAGUCUAUACGAUAGAUGAGACCGCAGAGAACCAACACCCACCUCACUAUAAAAGCCACCGACUUCAACGCAUUUCAACCCUAAACCUCUCAAGGAGUCAAGAGAGAAAGCCCUGUUUCUAAAGCCCUAGCUAAACCCUCGCCUCGCUUCUCCUCCAAACCAAAUGGCUUUCACUUCAAUUCUCCGCCGAUCGGCCUCCUCCCUGGCCCCACUCGCCAGCCGCCUUGCUCGUGGCCAGCGGUCUUACCACGGCGCUGUUGCCACCGCCGUCAACCACUUCAAUUUCUCCCGAAAGCACACUCAGCCGACCCCUUUCGUUCUCACCCCUCGAUACUAUUCGAGCCACAGUUCGGACCAGUCUCUGAUCAGGGUGAUCGAGUCGGAGAUCAAGUGCGCUGAGGAGACCGAGGAUCUCGACAAGGUGAGGUUUUUUUAGUUAACUUUCUCCUGCUUUGUGGACUGUUUGGUUUCCGAGAAAAUUUGGGGAAAUGGGCAAGAAAAUGAGGUUGUGGGUUGUGGGUUGUGGUGGCUCUGUUAUGUUUGGUUUCGCGGAUUAUGAAAACCCCAUCUCAAUUAAAUUGAAUAAUCGUGCUUGGGAACUGCUAGUUUGAAGUGAAUUGCAGAAAUUGAAGGGUUUCUUGAGUUAGAGUUAAUAUUUCCUUAAUUUAGUUCAUAUUUCCUUAUGUUCGUUUACUUGGUUUUGAUUUGCCCCUUGAGAUGUAUAUAUUUCGAAAAAUUGUUUCUUGUAAAAGAACUACAUGAUCUUCUAAUGUUAGUAAUGGAUGUUGGAUAUUUUGUUUAUGUUGGUAUUUGUUCAUGGAUUGUGUGAGUGUUUUCGCUCGUGGUUCGAUUCAGCAGUAGAUGUUUGUAUGUGUGUGUGUGAGAGAGACUUUUAAAAAA